GGAGAAGCGGAGCGCGCCCGUGCGAAGCACUGGGUGGCUCCAGCUCCGCCACUGCGCGCGCUCCAGCGCCCCAGAAGGCAGGGGGCAGCCCGGGGACCGGGGUCCCGGAGCCCCGUGGGAGGCGGGCAACACCUGUCGGGACCCGAGGGCGUGUCUGAGAUUGUGGCCUGAGGUGCUGCGCCUUCCGAUCCGGGGCAGCGGGCGUCCUGUAGCUGCGCCUUCCGAAUCCAGCCCAGAUUCUCCUACCAGCUGCUUGGGUCACGUCGGUGGAACUCCUAAAGGGAUGCCUUCAAAAUGUGUGAAUAAGCUUCAAUCAGACUGCCCUUCCCAAAGAAAAUAACUAUAAAUGCUGGAAAAACUACAAAACAGCCACCUGAAGGCACUGGCGAGAGACAAAAGCAAGCAAAUUCUGGAGAAGAGUCAACACUUGGAAGAAGGGAGCUGCACUGGGUACAUGGGGAAGGAACAGUGUCUCUGCAUGAGAAUGGCCAAAGAACAAGAUACAUUUCCCCGUGGAGAGCAAUCCUAGAGAGAGGGAAGCAUGGGUCAGAAUAAGGUGUACUGGCCCCAGGCAUAAACCAGGUAGCUGCUGUUUUGUGCCCUAAGUGUCUAUCCAUGGCAUACUCCUCAGAAAAUCAAGACAUCUCUUUUUUCUUCCCUGUUCCUUCCACUUCUUAAAUAUAAAUAAUUUAAACAAAUUAUCUGCCUCUCACUUCUUUAAAAAAGAAAAAAACUCUCCUGGCAGAAGAUUCUAAAUGACAAUAGGAGGUCAAAUUAGCAAGCCUGACUGCUCAAGCUCAAGGCAGAUGUGAGAGAAGCUUUGCUACUGCUUAUGACCUUCCUGCACAUUUACCCUUUUGGCAUGAGAAUCACAAACCAUGAGGAAACUUGCUUUUGAUCCUUAAGAUGGAAGCCAAGAAACCUUCUGCAAAAUGGUCUGGAAUUAUGUGUAAAACAUGUAAGAUUGAACAGCCAGCCUCAGCGACUCACAAGAAAUUAUCUCCUGGGCCAAGUUGGUGAUUUGAUAUCACCAUUUAUAUUCACUACAAGAACCAAAAAGGCCCGAUUUUCCAUGUUCAGUUCAACCUCUCCAGGAGGUAAGAGAAUAGAAGUUCAUUGUACUGGAGAGUAGAAAUGAUUUCACUGAGCUUUAAAAUGUUCCAUUUAAAAUUAUGAACAGUGUUUUAACAGAUGGGCCAUUCUACCUACUAUCUCAUGGGGCAGCACUCAUAAUGCUGAGGCCUUCUCUGUUUUUCGCUGACCUUGAAAAUGGAAUGUAAAACUGGGUUUCUGGAUAAAACAGAUGGGUGAGGUGCUAUUAUAAGGAAAGUAAUAAUUAAUAUAUUCUCUAUAUUGGGCCAGUAUGCAAGAAGGUAGAUAGGGAAUUGAGGCAGGAUGCACAUAUUAGGAAGGAAGGAAGGUUAAAAAGCAAUGCAGAAGGAAGUAGAAAAGCUAUUAUGUUCUAUUUGCUCAUAUAUAUAUAUAUAUAUAUCUCAAGGGCCCCACUUCAGAGGAUCUAUAAAGAAGUACAACCCUAAAGUAUGCUCCUACAAUAUGCUGUUUUUACGUACAUGACGGUGUUCAACUCUCUAUCUCCAACAUCUAGCAUGCUGCCUGCUGGAUCAGUUUAGUACCUGCCUGACUGUUUGAGCUAAUAGGUGGAAGCCUUCUUCAGUGUUCUCCAGCCAUGACUACUCUUCCUAACCUGGGUUUGAAAUUAAAGUGUAAUUUCACAAAUUAGUGCCAUAUGCCAUUGCUUGUGUUCUGUUAGAGCAGCAGUGUGGAACGUUCCCUCCCUCUGUCCAGGCUGCACGAUGGCCUCUUGCUGAUUCUCUCCCAGAAAUCUUCUUUAAUCUGAUGUAAAGCCUUGUCCUAAAAUACACUUAUCUUGCUUUUUCAUGAGCUUAAAAUUUUCCAUUACUAAAAUAGCAAAACGUAAUAUAAUACAACGAAACCACUGUUUUCAUUGUGGUGUUUCCUUCCAGUCAUUUUUUUUUCUACAAAUGCACUUACCCCUGACCCUGUUGAUAUUGUAAAUAUUUUAUUAUCCAUUAUGCUAUUACUCUGAUCUUUUUAGAUGAAGGCCCUAUUUGCGUCACUGUACCUUCUUCAUACUUUGAGCUAUUGGAGGUAGCAUGGGAGAAGCAGAGUGGACAAAGAUUUUGGAAUCAGACAUACAGAUUUAAAUUCUGGCUUUAUCAUGUACUAGACAUGUAAGCCAGGAAACAUACCUGACUUCCUCCUCACUCAGUUUUCCCAUCUAAAUGUGAUUAUAGUAACACAUAUUUCAUAUGAUUGUUUUGAAUAUCAACAUUAGGCAGUCUACGACGUGCACCAUCCAGUCAGCCACUUCAUGCAUAAUAACUAUCACCUCCAUUCCUCAACCCCAAAGAAUGGGUCCAAAUAGUUACUCUUAUUUGACGUAAUGCUACUGACAUGUAACAUAUAGAUGAAACCUCCUACUAGGAAAUAUUUAAUAGGUACUUAAACUUAGGAGUGAAUCAAUUGUUUCUUCAGAAGGAGUUCUGUGAAUUUGUACUUAAA
ensembl:lncRNA DPP10-AS1 DPP10 antisense RNA 1